CACUGUCAUCCUACGGGGAGGCAGCAGUGGGGGAAUAUUGCACAAUGGGCGCAAGCCUGAUGCAGCCAUGCCGCGUGUGUGAAGAAGGCCUUCGGGUUGUAAAGCACUUUCAGUCGUGAGGAAGGUGGUGUAGUUAAUAGCUGCAUCAUUUGACGUUAGCGACAGAAGAAAGCACCGGCUAACUCCGUGCCAGCAGCCGCGGUAAUACGGAGGGUGCGAGCGUUAAUCGGAAUUACUGGGCGUAAAGCGCAUGCAGGUGGUUUGUUUAAGUCAGAUGUGAAAGACCCGGGGCUCAACCUCGGAAUAGCAUUUGAAACUAGGCAGACUAGAGUACUGUAGAGGGGGGUAGGAAUUUCAGGUGUAGCGGUGAAAUGCGUAGAGAUCUGAAGGAAUACCGGUGGCGAAGGCGGCCCCCUCGGACAGAUACUGACACUCAGAUGCGAAAGCGUGGGGAGCAAACAGGAUUAGAUACCCUGGUAG
rnacentral:rRNA from 1 species